ACGCUAGCGACGUGCCUAAGGUAUGCAAGUCGAAUGCCGAUUUAUCGGCAUGGCAGACGGCUGAGUAAUACAUGGGAAUCUACCUCAAACUCGAGAAUAGCCCAUCGAAAGGUGGUGUAAUACUCGAUAGUUCCGUUUACGGUAAAGCUCCGGCGGUUUGAGAUGAGCCCAUGUCCUAUCAGGUUGUUGGUGGGGUAAUUGCCUACCAAGCCUAUGACGGGUAGCUGGUUUGAGAGGAUGAUCAGCCAGACUGGGACUGCGAUACGGCCCAGACUCCUACGGGAGGCAGCAACUAGGAAUCAUGCGCAAUGGACGAAAGUCUGACGCUGCGACGUCGCGUGAGGGAUGAAGGUCUUCGGAUCGUAAACCUCUUUUAUCUGGGAACAAGUUCUGAGUGUACCAGAUGAAUAAGUGCCUGCCAACCACGUGCCAGAAGCAUCGGUAAUGCGUGGGGCACGAGCGUUAUCCGGAUUUACUGGGCGUAAAGAGAUGCGUAGGCGCCUUUUUAAGUCACUUGUAAAAUCUCCCCGCUCAACGGGGAAACUGCAAGUGAUACUGAAUUGGUUGAGUCAAGUAGAGGAGAGGGGAAUUCCUGGUGGAGCGGUUAAAUGCGUUGAUAUCAGGAGGAAUACCAAGUGCGAAGGCACCUCUCUGGACUUGUACUGACGCUAAGGCUCGAAAGUGUGGGGAGCAAAACGGAUUAGAUACCCGUGUAGUCCACACUGUAAACGAUCCCUGCUAGAUGUUUG
rnacentral:rRNA from 1 species